UCAGGAGAAACCUGGCUGAGCCAUCUAAGGCCCAGGUUGCAAAUGGAGUCGACUCUAGAACGCUCUGAAGAGGCAGUGCAGGUAUCUGGUCUCCUGUGCACUCACCGAAUAAAAGGUUCUGCAGGAGCUGCUG